GAUGAACGCUGGCGGCGUGCCUAAUACAUGCAAGUCGAGCGAACAGACGAGGAGCUUGCCCCUCUUACGGUAGAGGCGGACGGGUGAGUAACACGUGGAGAACCUACCUAUAAGACGGGGGUAACUUCGGGAAACCGGAGCUAAUACCGGAAAAUAUAUUGAACCGCAUGGUGCAAUAGUGAAAGACGGUUUUGCUGUCACUGAUAGAUGGAUCCGCGCCGCAUUAGCUAGUUGGUAAGGUAACGGCUUACCAAGGCAACGAUCCGUAGCCGACCUGAGAGGGUGACCGGCCACACUGGAACUGAGACACGGUCCAGACUCCUACGGGAGGCAGCAGUAGGGAAUCUUCCGCAAUGGGCGCAAGCUUGACGGAGCCACGCCGCGUGUGUGAUGAAGGUCUUCGGAUCGUAAAAUUCUGUUAUCAGGGAAGAACAAAUUUGUAAGUAACUAUGCACGUCUUGACGGUACCUAAUCAGAAAGCCCCGGCUAACUACGUG
rnacentral:rRNA from 1 species